UGGGGAAUUUUGGACAAUGGGGGCAACCCUGAUCCAGCCAUGCCGCGUGAGUGAAGAAGGCCCUCGGGUUGUAAAGCUCUCUUGUCCGGAAAGAAAAGCAUUCGGUGAAUACCAGGAUGUUCUGACGGUACCGGAAGAAUAAGCACAGGCUAACUUCGUGCCAGCAGCCGCGGUAAUACGAAGGGUGCAAGCGUUACUCGGAAUUACUGGGCGUAAAGCGUGCGUAGGUGGUUGUUUAAGUCUGAUGUGAAAGCCCUGGGCUCAACCUGGGAAUGGCAUUGGAAACUGGGCAGCUAGAGUGCGGUAGAGGGUAGUGGAAUUCCCGGUGUAGCAGUGAAAUGCGUAGAGAUCGGGAGGAACAUCUGUGGCGAAGGCGACUGCCUGGACCAGCACUGACACUGAGGCACGAAAGCGUGGGGAGCAAACA
rnacentral:rRNA from 1 species